CCACAGACAUCCUCUGCUGAAAGCGGGGUGCUGCUGCCUCCAAGGCUGAAGCACAAGUCAUUGACAGGGACCCAGGUGGCCCAGUAGCAGUCCUGCCAUGCAUUUACAAGCACUCUGAGGACAGACUACCCUACUUGUAGUUAGCAAUUGGGCUGAAGCGAGCGCGCCCUAGCUGCCUAUUUAUGGCAGCUGCCACUGAAAGCAAGCCCGCCCCCGCCCCUCCCCUUCCCCUGCUCCCGCCCCCGCCCCUCCCCCUCCCCUGCUCCCGCCCCCGCCCCCGCCCCCAGUAGAAGGGCUGCCCUAUGGCUGCUGCCUCCCACAACCAAAUCAUUUUUCUGGGAACCUGGGGAUCAUCUUGGCUCUGCCUAUCACAGCCAGUGCCUGCACGCCCUGCUCCGGCAUCCCCCUAGUGCCUGAGCACGCCAUCCUCCUGUACCCUACUCCAUUACGAUGUGAUUCCUUCGUGUUAAAACUGUGUACCUUGCCCUACUAACUUUGGAUCUGGCCAAUGGAAUAUAAGGAGAUUUGACCUGUGCUGCUGUGAUUAACAGACAUCAGAGGCAUGAAAAACAACAGUAACUAGAUGAAGCAAGGACCACCCUUCUGGACAACAAAGGGAGAGGAAUGAAAGUCUGACCUAGGAAAAGACGGAGUCUCGCUGUGUUGUCCAGGAUGGAGUGCAGUGGUGCUUUCUCAGCUCACUGCAACCUCUGCCUCCCAGUUCAAGCAAUUCUUCUGACUCAGCCUCCUGAGUAGCUGGGAUUACAGGCACCUGCUACCACACCAUGCUAAUUUUUGUAUUUUUAGUAGAGACGGGGUUUCUCCAUGUUGGCCUGGCUGGUCUCGAACUCCUGACCUCAGGUGAUCCACCUGCCUCGGCCUCUCAAAAUGCUAGGAUUACAGGUGUGAGCCACCACACCUGGCCAACUUAUCCUUUUUUUAACAUCUAGUUUUCUGUGAGUGUUUUCUAAUGUGCACUGUAGACGGACAUAGUGGUAUGUGAUUACUAUUCAUAGAUAAAUAAUAAUUUGUUUAUUAUUGUGUAAUAAACAUUGUGUGAUAAAGAAUUUGGCUGACCUUUGUUUCUGGUUCUUGAGAGGUAAUCUUUCAACCCAUGGAGUUUCCCAAGUGAUUGGAGUGUCUUUGUUCUUCAAGGUGGGCCCCAUAGAGCAUAUUUGAUGGUUUAUGCUAAUGUGAUGACUCAGGAUGGAAGCCGGCCAUGUUAGGAAGACCAAAGACAUGAUGAGAUGGUUGGGACUUUGAGCCAGGUGGCAUCA
rnacentral:lncRNA from 1 species